AGAGGUAUAGUUCAGUGGUAGAGCACUUGCCUAGCAUGCAGGAGGCCCUGGUUUUGACUCUCAGCACCACAA
rnacentral:tRNA from 1 species